rnacentral:rRNA from 1 species
GACGAACGCUGGCGGCGUGCCUAAUACAUGCAAGUAGGACGCACAGUUUAUACCGUAGCUUGCUACACCAUAGACUGUGAGUUGCGAACGGGUGAGUAACGCGUAGGUAACCUGCCUAUUAGAGGGGGAUAACUAUUGGAAACGAUAGCUAAUACCGCAUAACAGUAUGUAACACAUGUUAGAUGCUUGAAAGAUGCAAUUGCAUCGCUAGUAGAUGGACCUGCGUUGUAUUAGCUAGUAGGUAGGGUAAAGGCCUACCUAGGCAACGAUACAUAGCCGACCUGAGAGGGUGAUCGGCCACACUGGGACUGAGACACGGCCCAGACUCCUACGGGAGGCAGCAGUAGGGAAUCUUCGGCAAUGGGGGGAACCCUGACCGAGCAACGCCGCGUGAGUGAAGAAGGUUUUCGGAUCGUAAAGCUCUGUUGUUAAGGAAGAACGAGUGUGAGAAUGGAAAGUUCAUACUGUGACGGUACUUAACCAGAAAGGGACGGCUAACUACGUGCCAGCAGCCGCGGUAAUACGUAGGUCCCGAGCGUUGUCCGGAUUUAUUGGGCGUAAAGCGAGCGCAGGCGGUUGCUUAGGUCUGAUGUGAAAGCCUUCGGCUUAACCGAAGAAGUGCAUCGGAAACCGGGCGACUUGAGUGCAGAAGAGGACAGUGGAACUCCAUGUGUAGCGGUGGAAUGCGUAGAUAUAUGGAAGAACACCAGUGGCGAAGGCGGCUGUCUGGUCUGCAACUGACGCUGAGGCUCGAAAGCAUGGGUAGCGAACAGG